AUCCUGGUCAUACUUGGAUGCAUCAACAGAUCCCAUGAAAUAAGUCCCCUUUGGACAGUUAACAAGAAAAUUAAUUAAGUGCCUUUCCCGUUUAUCCGUCCAUCCAUCAGACAUAAGAGUGCACCCAUACUGCUUCCAAUACUCUUCAUAUUUUUUCUUCAUCUCUACAGUUUCAUUCACAGCCUUUCUUAACAAUGGCACUCUCACUUGAUGAUAUGAAGGUGGAAUAUAUCCAGAACCAUAUUGUGCAAUAGACUCGCACAUCACCUCAAAGGUCCUUG